GACAGAGGGUGCAAACGUUGUUCGGAAUUACUGGGCGUAAAGCGAGUGUAGGCGGUCUGAAAAGUCGGGUGUGAAAGCCCCGGGCUCAACCCGGGAAGUGCACUCGAAACUGCCAGGCUAGAGUGUCGGAGAGGUUGGUGGAAUUCUCGGUGUAGAGGUGAAAUUCGUAGAUAUCGAGAGGAACACCGGUGGCGAAGGCGGCCAACUGGACGAACACUGACGCUGAGACUCGAAAGCGUGGGGAGCAAACAGG
rnacentral:rRNA from 1 species